CCCUAUUAUUGAAAAUGUAAAUAUAAAUGCUUGAGUAUUAGUAGUUAUGUUCUUGAAAUUUAAAGGAUUUGGCGGUAUUAUAGUCUAUUCAGAGGAACCUGUCCUAUAAUUGAUGAUCCACGAUUAAUCUUACUUGUUUUAAAGGUUUGUAUAUCGUCGUAGGUUGAAUGUUUUGAAAGGAAGAGGAAUAUUCAAGAUAUUAGGUUAUAGAGGGGAUCUGAUCUCGAGAUUCAGCGUAUAGACCCGUAGAGAUGGGUUACAAUGAAUUUAUUUAUUUGGUUGAUUUAGUUCCCUUUCUUUUUUAGAGUGGAUUUGAUUUUCAUAUGGUUUAGUUAAUCUAUAUGCUUGACGGUCUAUAAUAUGCACAUAUCGCCCGUCGCUCCUGCUCUAAAGCAGGAUAAGU
rnacentral:rRNA from 1 species